GAUGAACGCUGGCGGCGUGCCUAAUACAUGCAAGUCGAGCGAACGGACGAGAAGCUUGCUUCUCUGAUGUUAGCGGCGGACGGGUGAGUAACACGUGGAUAACCUACCUAUAAGUCUGGGAUAACUUCGGGAAACCGUAGCUAAUACCGGAUAAUAUUUUGAACCGCAUGGUUCAAAAGUGAAAGACGGUCUUGCUGUCACUUAUAGAUGGAUCCGCGCUGCAUUAGCUAGUUGGUAAGGUAACGGCUUACCAAGGCAACGAUGCAUAGCCGACCUGAGAGGGUGAUCGGCCACACUGGAACUGAGACACGGUCCAGACUCCUACGGGAGGCAGCAGUAGGGAAUCUUCCGCAAUGGGCGAAAGCCUGACGGAGCAACGCCGCGUGAGUGAUGAAGGUCUUCGGAUCGUAAAACUCUGUUAUUAGGGAAGAACAUAUGUGUAAGUAACUGUGCACAUCUUGACGGUACCUAAUCAGAAAGCCACGGCUAACUACGUG
rnacentral:rRNA from 1 species